rnacentral:rRNA from 1 species
GGGUGCGUAACACGUGGGCAACCUGCCUCUAAGUUGGGGAUAACCCGCCGAAAGGAGGGCUAACACCGAAUGUGAUGUUUCGACGCCUGUCGAGAUUAUCAAAGAUGGGGAUCCGUAAGGACCCGUCGCUUGGAGAGGGGCCCGCGUCCUAUCAGCUUGUUGGUGAGGUAACGGCCCACCAAGGCUUACGGGUAGCUGGUCUGAGAGGAUGGUCAGCCACACUGGGACUGAGACACUGCCCAGACUCCUACGGGAGGCUGCAGUCGAGGAUCAUUCGCAAUGCGCGAAAGCGUGACGAUGCGACGCUGCGUGGAGGAUGACGGCCUUCGGGUUGUAAACUCCUGUCAUUCGGGAAAAACGACAAGGGGGGUAAUAUCCCUCUUGAGUGAUGGUACCGGAAGAGGAAGCCACGGCUAACUCUGUGCCAGCAGCCGCGGUAAUACAGAGGUGGCGGGCGUUGUUCGGAUUUACUGGGCGUAAAGGGUGCGUAGGUGGUUCCGCGUGUCGGAUGUGAAAGCCCACUGCUCAAUGGUGGAAUGGCAUUCGAAACUGCGGGGCUAGAGUGCAGGAGAGGAGAGCGGAAUUCUUGGUGUAGCGGUGGAAUGCGUUGAUAUCAAGAAGAACACCGGUGGCGUAGGCGGCUCUCUGGAGUGUUACUGACACUGAGGCACGAAAGCGUGGGGAGCAAACAGGAUUAGAUACCCUGGUAGUCCACGCCCUAAACGGUGCACACUUGGUGUGGGGGGAAUUGACCCCCUCCGCGCCGGAGCUAACGCGUUAAGUGUGCCGCCUGGGGAGUACGGUCGCAAGAUUAAAACUCAAAGAAAUUGACGGGGGCCCGCACAAGCGGAGGAGCAUGUGGCUUAAUUCGAUGCAACGCGAAGAACCUUACCAGGACUUGACAUGCAACUGCACAUCCUGUGAAAGCAGGAUUCCUUCGAGGGUGUUGCACAGGUGCUGCAUGGCUGUCGUCAGUUCGUGCCGUGAGGUGUUGGGUUAAGUCCCGCAACGAACGCAACCCUUGUGUUUAGUUGCUACCAUCGGUGAUAAGCCGGUGAGCACUCUAAACAGACUGCCCGUGAAAAGCGGGAGGAAGGUGGGGAUGACGUCAAGUCAGUAUGGCCUUUAUGUCCUGGCUGCACACGUGCUACAAUGGUCGGUACAGAGGGGAGCAAGACCGCAAGGUGGAGCCAAUCCUAAAAACCGGCCCCAGUUCAGAUUGAAGGCUGAAACUCGCCUUCAUGAAGUUGGAUUCGCUAGUAAUGGCGCAUCAGCUACGGCGCCGUGAGUACGUUCCCGGGCCUUGUACACACCGCCCGUCACAUCAUGAAAGCCGCCUGCACCCAACGUCGCUGC